GGGGAAUCCACGGGCUAUACCAAGAGCGUUCGCGGGGGGAGAACGGAACGCAAAUGUGGAGGAAGCCGCCGCCAAGGGCUACACCACCCGGACCCCACCAAAAGUUCUCACCUAAGACGGGGUUCCUAGUGCUCUCCCGGGUAAUAAGCGGGAAUAGAGGUCGGAGAAUCCGGGUGUCCUCCCCCACCCCUGUUGGCGCGCUCCGCAGGCGGGGCCUCCGGGACCCGGUUCCUUAACCCCUCAGCGCCCGGACCGCUUCUGCAGAACGGACGCUCGCGCGGCGCCCAUCUCGACCCGGCCUGGCUCUUAGAUGGGGACCUGGAGAGCUCGACACGCCCGACGCUGCCCUCGAGGCGCUCAAGAUCUCUGAGGGGAGGCGACACAGACACAGGACACACGCGGGGUGCCAGCGAGAUAAGAAAUCACAGAGGAUAAAGGGACUGAAGGGAAGAGGCCCUGCUUUCUGGAGAUGAUGGCAUUUGGGUCGGGUCAUGAAGGAUGAAAUAGGCGUUGGCCCAGAGAGAGAAAAGGAUUCCAGGCAGCGGGAAGAAUAGGUGCAGAGGUUCGAUGACAUAAAAACAGCCGGCCGAUUCGGGUUUGUGGGGAGCAAAGUUUAGGGACAGAAAUUAGUCGCAGAAAGUUUAGGUCCCUGAGAGUAAAAGGAUGCAGCUGAUUUCGUCUAGCCAACCCUCGGCCCAGAGGGGAGACGCAGCUUGCCUGAGAGCGCACAGGAUUGGGUGGCUGAGCUGGCCUCAGCCCAGGACCCUGACUCAGGGCUCAACCGUUGACUCUAUUUGGGCAGCCUCUGGAGGCGCAGCAUCUCUUGCAGAGCAUCCUCACUCCCAGAAAGGACCACGUUUCUGUGUUUGUUUUGUUGUUUAUGAUCCGUCUCUCCCAGCGGGCUGGAAGCUUCGGGAGAGCCACGACCAAGGCAGCCUUGACCCCAGCUCUGUCUCCUGCACCUAGGACAGGCCUGGCGCCAACUGAGGAGGCGACCAGUAAAUAUUUAUUGCUGUUGCUGUGGUGUCAAAAAUAUGCAAAAACAAUU
rnacentral:lncRNA from 1 species